CCUACGGGAGACAGCAGUGAGGAAUAUUGGUCAAUGGGCGCGAGCCUGAACCAGCCAAGUAGCGUGAAGGAUGACUGUCCUACGGGUUGUAAACUCCUUUUAUAAAGGAAUAAAGUGAGGCACGUGUGCCUUUUUGUAUGUAUUUUAUGAACAAGGAUCGGCUAACUCCGUGCCAGCAGCCGCGGUAAUACGGAGGAUCCGCGCGUUAUCCGGAUUUAUUGGGUUUAAAGGGAGCGUAGAUGGGUUGUUAAGUCAGUUGUGAAAGUUUGGGGCUCAACCGGAAAAUUGCCAUUGAUACUGGCAGCCUUGAGUACAGGUGAGGUAGGCGGAAUUCGUGGUGUAGCGGUGAAAUGCUUAGAUAUCACGAAGAACACCAAUUGCGAAGGCGGCCUACUAAACUGCCACUGACAUUGAUGCUCGAAAGUGUGGGUAUCAAACAGGAUUAGAUACCCUUGUAGUC
rnacentral:rRNA from 1 species